UCCCAAAAUUAAACCCUGCCGGGAACUACAAAUUUCCAUUUAAAACUCAAAGAUCUUGGCGGUGUCUUAUACACUCAGGGAAACCUGUCCCUUAAAUCGAUAAUCCACGAAUGUGCAAGCCCCCCUCGAAUUUUCAGCCUGUGUACUGCCGUCAUACGUAUGCCUCCGAGAGUAAGCAUGCAAAAAUAUAUCUACUUAAGUCAGGUCAAAGUGCAGCCUAUGGGGGGCCGGAGAUGGGUUACACUCCUAAUAUGGCCACCGAAAUUCCUCUUAAAAAACGAAAUGAAAGCUGGACUUGAUAGUAAUGAUAAAUACUAAGUUAUCAUGAAAUGGAAUCUAAGACAUGUACAUAUCGCCCGUCACUCUCAUCGAAAGACG
rnacentral:rRNA from 1 species